rnacentral:rRNA from 1 species
UACGUAGGGACCAAGCGUUGUUCGGAAUUACUGGGCGUAAAGCGUGCGUAGUCGGUUAUCUAAGUCGGGUGUGAAAUCCCCGGGCUCAACCUGGGAAUUGCAUUCGAUACUGGAUAGCUAGAGUUCGGCAGAGGGGAGCGGAAUUUCGGGUGUAGCGGUGAAAUGCGUAGAUAUCCGAAGGAACAUCAGUGGCGAAAGCGGCUUCCUGGACCAGAACUGACGAUCAGGCACGAAAGCGUGGGGAGCAAACAGG